rnacentral:rRNA from 1 species
AUUGAGCGCUGGCGGCAUGCUUUACACAUGCAAGUCGAACGGUAACAGGCCGCAAGGUGCUGACGAGUGGCGAACGGGUGAGUAAUGCAUCGGAACGUGCCCAGUCGUGGGGGAUAACUGCUCGAAAGAGCAGCUAAUACCGCAUACGAUCUAUGGAUGAAAGCGGGGGACCGUAAGGCCUCGCGCGAAUGGAGCGGCCGAUGUCGGAUUAGGUAGUUUGUGGGGUAAAGGCUCACCAAGCCAACGAUCUGUAGCUGGUCUGAGAGGACGACCAGCCACACUGGGACUGAGACACGGCCCAGACUCCUACGGGAGGCUGCAGUCGAGGAUAUUUAGCAAUGCCCGAAAGGGUGACUAUGCGACGCCGCGUGUGCGAUGAAGGUCUUCGGAUUGUAAAGCACUGUCAGCUGGGAGGAAUCUCGGGGGUACUAAUAAGGCCGCCGGGUGACAGUACCAGCAGAGGAAGCCACGGCUAACUCCGUGCCAGCAGCCGCGGUAAAAC